AGCAGCCGCGGUAAUUCCAGCUCCAAUAGCGUAUAUUAAAGUUGUUGCAGUUAAAAAGCUCGUAGUUGAAUUUCGGGGUCAGUAGGCUGGUCAUGCCACUGGUAUGUACUGGUCUUACUGAUUCCUCCUUCCUGACGAACCGUAAUGCCAUUAAUUUGGUGUUGCGGGGAAUUUGGACUGUUACUUUGAAAAAAUUAGAGUGUUUAAAGCAGGCUAACGCUUGAAUACAUUAGCAUGGAAUAAUGGAAUAGGACGUUCGAUCCUAUUUUGUUGGUUUCUGGGAUUGACGUAAUGAUUAAUAGGGAUAGUUGGGGGCAUUAGUAUUCAAUUGUCAGAGGUGAAAUUCUUGGAUUUAUUGAAGACUAACUACUGCGAAAGCAUUUGCCAAGGAUGUCUUCAUUAAUCAAGAACGAAAGUUAGGGGAUCGAAGACGAUCAGAUACCGUCGUAG
rnacentral:rRNA from 1 species